rnacentral:rRNA from 1 species
GAGGACAGGAGAGGUUGACGGAACUCCCGGUGGAGCGGUGAAAUGCAUAGAUAUCGGGAAGAACACCAAAGAGGCGAAGGCAGUUAACUAUUCUGAUCCUGACAUUGAGGCACGAAAGCGUGGGGAGCAAAACGGAUUAGAUACCCGUGUAGUCCACGCCGUAAACGAUGAGUGCUAGGCAUUGGACGUUAGUUCAGUGUCGCUAGGUAACCCGGUAAGCACUCCGCCUGGGUAGUAUGCUCGCAAGAGUGAAACUCAAAGGAAUUGACGGGGACUCGCACAAGCAGUGGAGCAUGUGGUUUAAUCCGAUACAACGCGUAGAACCUUACCAAGGCUUGACAUGUUUGGCAAAACUCGAGAAACCGAGCGGAGGUUAUCCAAACACAGGUGCUGCAUGGCCGUCGUCAGUUCGUGCCGUGAGGUGUAUGGUUAAGUCCUAUAACGAACGCAACCCUUAGGCUUAGUUACCAGCGGGUUAAGCCGGGCACUCUAAGCUGACUGCCUGAGUAAUCAGGAGGAAGGAGAGGAUGACGUCU